CCUACGGGUGGCAGCAGUGGGGAAUAUUGCACAAUGGGGGAAACCCUGAUGCAGCAACGCCGCGUGAGCGAUGAAGGUCUUCGGAUCGUAAAGCUCUGUUGUUAGGGAAGAACAAGUACGGGAGGAAAUGACCGUACCUUGACGGUACCUAACGAGGAAGCCACGGCUAACUACGUGCCAGCAGCCGCGGUAAUACGUAGGUUGCAAGCGUUGUCCGGAAUUAUUGGGCGUAAAGCGGGCGCAGGAGGUCUUUUAAGGCUGAUGUGAAAUCUUGCGGCUCAACCGCAAGCGGUCAUUGGAAACUGGGAGACUUGAGUGCAGAAGAGGAAAGCGGAAUUCCACGUGUAGCGGUGAAAUGCGUAGAGAUGUGGAGGAACACCAGUGGCGAAGGCGGCUUUCUGGUCUGUAACUGACGCUGAGGCGCGAAAGCGUGGGGAGCAAACAGGAUUAGAUACCCGGGUAGUC
rnacentral:rRNA from 1 species